GCCACCUUAGCUCAGUUGGUAGAGCAAUUGUUUUGUAAACAAUAGGUCGUCAGUUCGAAUCUGACAGGUGGCU
rnacentral:tRNA from 1 species